rnacentral:rRNA from 1 species
AUACGUAGGGAGCGAGCGUUGUCCGGAAUUACUGGGCGUAAAGGGCGCGUAGGCCGUGUUAUAAGUUAGUUGUAAAACGUGUGGGCUUAACCCGCAUUCGCAACUAAAACUGUAACGCUAGAGGCAUAGAGAGGCAGACGGAAUUCCUGGUGUAGCGGUGAAAUGCGUAGAUAUCAGGAAGAACACCGGUGGCGAAGGCGGUCUGCUGGCUAUGAACUGACGCUGAAGCGCGAAAGCCAGGGGAGCAAACGGGAGUAGAUACCCCGGUAGUCCUGGCAGUAAACGAUGUAUGCUGGGUGUGGGCGUAGCGAUACGUCCGUGCCGAAGGUAACGCGAUAAGCAUACCGCCUGGGGAGUACGGUCGCAAGAUUGAAACUCAAAUGAAUUGACGGGG